rnacentral:lncRNA from 1 species
AUGAUGUCAAGAUAUAUUGUUGAUUUAUAUGGAGGGAAGGGAGGAAGGAAGAAAGGAAGAAAGGACAUAGGAAGAAAGGACAUAGGAAGGAAGGAAGGAAGGAAGGAAGGAAGGAAGGAAGGAAGGAAGGAAGGAAGGAAGGAAGGAAGGAAGGAAGGAAGGAAGGAAGGAAGGAAGGAAGGAAGGAAGGAAGGAAGGAAGGAAGGAAGGAAGGAAGGAAGGAAGGAAGGAAGGAAGGAAGGAAGGAAGGGAAAGAAAGAAAGAAAGAAAGAAAGAAAGAAAGAAAGAAAGAAAGAAAGAAAGAAAGAAAGAAAGAAAGAAAGAAAGAAAGAAAGAAAGAAAGAAAGAAAGAAAGAAAGAAAGAAAGAAAGAAAGAAAGAAAGAAGGAAGGAAAGAAGGAAGGAAAGAAGGAAAGAAAGAAGUAAAGAAAGAAAGGAAGAAAGAGAGAGAGAGGAAGGAAGGAAGAAAAAGAAAGAAAGAGAAAGAGAGGAAGGAAGGAAAAAGAGAGAGAGGAAGGAAGGAAGAAAAAGAAAGAAAGAAAGAAAGAAAGAAAGAAAGAAAGAAAGAAAGAAAGAAAGAAAGAAAGAAAGAAAGAAAGAAAGAAAGAAAGAAAGAAAGAAAGAAAGAAAGAAAGAAAGAAAGAAAGAAAGAAAGAAAGAAAGAAAGAAAGAAAGAAAGAAAGAAAGAAGCGGAGCGAGGGAGGGAGGAAGGAAGGAAGAAGAAAGCUUUAUCUCCUAAUGUGAGGAUUUGGAAAUAAGUUCAAAAUUCCCUCCCAUCACCCAAAAACCAGUAUUUGCAAAAGUGGAGAGGGAGGAUUAAAAAUUAACUAUUAGUUGCAUCAAUUUCCUUUAGCUGCUGUAGUUUCAGGACUCAGCAAAAGCAUUUUCAGGGACCCAGACUGUACAUUGCAGCCAAGCUGGCCACCUGGCUAUUUCCCCACACUCGGCACCCCACCUCCUGCGUGAGCACAGGCUGUUCCCAAUGCCAGAGUACACUCAUGACUCAUUUUUGCCUCUUAGCAUCUUUAACUUCUUUCAAGGUAGAGUUCUUGUUCUAUCUCUUCAGGAAGAUCUUCCUUCAUUGUAAGUCAUCUUACCUUCCUCAAUCAUCACAUCUAAUUAUCCCUUGGAUACUAAUGUUUCCAUUUUGUAUCCUUUCAGUAAACUGCAAACUUCUUGAGGACAAGGACCAUGUUUUUAUGCUGUCUUUGUAUCCCUUAGUGCCUAA